rnacentral:rRNA from 1 species
AUUAAUAAACAAAUAUUUAAAAAAAAGCACUCGUUCUCGUCCGAUCACGAAAGUCAAGCAGCGCUGGGCACGGAUAGUACUUAGAUGGGUGACCGCUUGGGAACUCCGUGUGGUGUUGGCU